CAAAGAGGAAGGCCAAGGUACAACAUACCAGCUACUCAGCUGACUGACAUGCGAGACUUGGGGUUUAGUUGGAUGGCCAUAUCUCAAAUGUUGUCAGUAAAUGUUCGAACACUGUACAACCACAGGAUACAACUAGGCUUUGUGGACUAUGGAACUUUUAAUAAUAUUUCAAAUGUGGAUCUUGAUCAUCUCAUUACUGAGAUUCUUACACAUACCCCUGGCUCAGGAGAAUCCUACAUUAGUGGUAGUUUGAGAGGAAGAGGAAUCAGAGUUCAGUGGUGGCGAGUGCGAGAACGUUUAAGAAUAGUUGAUCCAGUGGGAAGAGCUUUGAGAGGACGGAGAGCAAUUCAGCGGAGGGUCUACAAUGUCACUGUCCCAAAUCAAGUGUGGCAUAUUGACACAAACCACAAGUUAAAUCCUUGGGGGUUUGUGUUUCAUGGAGGAGUUGACGGCUAUAGUCGCUGCAUUACCUACAUGAGAUGCUGCACAGAUAACAGAGCAUCAACUGCUAUGCAACUUUUCCAGAGUGCCGUUGAUCUCUUUGGCCUCCCACAACGUGUCAGGGGUGAUGCUGGCAGUGAGAAUAUUGAUAUUGCACGGUUUAUGAUUGAACAUCGAGGGCCAAACAGAGGAAGCUUUAUGGUUGGACGAAG